CCAGACUCCUACGGGAGGCAGCAGUGAGGAAUAUUGGUCAAUGGGCGAGAGCCUGAACCAGCCAAGUCGCGUGAAGGAAGACAGUCCUAAGGAUUGUAAACUUCUUUUAUACGGGAAUAACGGGCGAUACGAGUAUUGCAUUGAAUGUACCGUAAGAAUAAGCAUCGGCUAACUCCGUGCCAGCAGCCGCGGUAAUACGGAGGAUGCGAGCGUUAUCCGGAUUUAUUGGGUUUAAAGGGUGCGUAGGUUGUUCGGUAAGUCAGCGGUGAAACCUGAGCGCUCAACGUUCAGCCUGCCGUUGAAACUGCCGGGCUUGAGUUCAGUGGCGGCAGGCGGAAUUCGUGGUGUAGCGGUGAAAUGCAUAGAUAUCACGAGGAACUCCGAUUGCGAAGGCAGCUUGCCAUACUGCGACUGACACUGAAGCACGAAGGCGUGGGUAUCAAACAGGAUUAGAUACCCUGGUAGUCCACGCAGUAAACGAUGAUUACUAGGAGUUUGCGAUAUACCGUCAAGCUUCCACAGCGAAAGCGUUAAGUAAUCCACCUGGGGAGUACGCCGGCAACGGUGAAACUCAAAGGAAUUGACGGGGGCCCGCACAAG
rnacentral:rRNA from 1 species